UACGUAGGGUGCGAGCGUUAAUCGGAAUUACUGGGCGUAAAGAGUGCGUAGGCGGUCCCGCAAGUCCGCUGUGAAAGCCCCGGGCUUAACCUGGGAAUGGCAGUGGAAACUAUGGGACUUGAAUCUGGCAGAGGGGGGUGGAAUUCCGCGUGUAGCAGUGAAAUGCGUAGAGAUGCGGAGGAACACCGAUGGCGAAGGCAGCCCCCUGGGCUAACACUGACGCUCAGGCACGAAAGCGUGGGGAGCAAACAGG
rnacentral:rRNA from 1 species